rnacentral:rRNA from 1 species
AUACGGAGGAUCCGAGCGUUAUCCGGAUUUAUUGGGUUUAAAGGGUGCGCAGGCGGGAGAUUAAGUCGGAGGUGAAAUUUUGCAGCUCAACUGUAAAAGCGCCUUCGAAACUGGUUUCCUUGAGUGUAGAUGAAGUAGGCGGAAUUUGUGGUGUAGCGGUGAAAUGCAUAGAUAUCACGAGGAACUCCGAUUGCGCAGGCAGCUUACUAAACUACUACUGACGCUCAGGCACGAAGGCGUGGGGAUCAAACAGGAUUAGAUACCCUGGUAGUCCACGCAGUAAACGAUGAUUACUAGCUGUUUGCGAUACAAUGUAAGCGGCUGAGCGAAAGCGUUAAGUAAUCCACCUGGGGAGUACGUUCGCAAGAAUGAAACUCAAAUGAAUUGGCGGGG